AGCCAGUUAUUUAAUCAGUCAUGACUGUGUAAUAAAUCCCCAAUGAGAGCCCUAGACAUUGAAGCUUUGUGGAGACUCCUGGUUGUUGAACACAUUGAUGUACCAGAAGAACAACAUGUCCUGAUUCCACAGGGAGAAGGCAAGAAGCUUUGCCUUUAGGACUUUCCCAGACUUUGCCCUGUGUGUCUUCAUUUGGCAGCUUAUAAAGUUGAUUCACUGACUGCUGGUUUGAAAUGGUGUCUGCUAACAGUCGCUGGUACAGCUUCUCUGUAAUGUGAGGUAAAAUACCUAUAAAAGCUUAGAAGAAGAUGUAAACUCAAAACACAUCCAUAAACUUGGACUGACAAUUCCCUGAAGACUGGAUCUGGGAGGACUUUUUGCCAACAGUAAUGCCAAUGAAACUUAAAAGAAGAGAACAUUCUAUGGGUGUGGGUGUGAUACUGAGGAAAUGCUCUGUAGGCAAGAGAAAUCCAGGAAGAAGUUGGACAGAAUUCUAUUUUAGUCUACCAGAGCCGUGGUUAGUAAAGCCUGCUGGAAUGUGGAGCUGAUCUAGGAGCUGUGGGCAUUCAGCUGGACAAUGGUUCUUUCAACUGCUCCUUAUGUGAAGAAUUUCUCCAGGAUUCAUCAUUCCAUCUGGAUCUGUAUAAAUAAAGCUGAAGUUCUGGUCAUGACCGCUCCCUAGAUCACUCCUGCCCCUGUGUUCCUGGAGCCUCAGAGUUUUGUGUCACAUGAGCUCCCAAGCUCUUCCUUUCUCGUUCAUCUGCUUGGGUUCAUUCUUGUUGAUACUCACUAUAAGGAAAGCACCUCAUCCUGCUACAGCUGGGUACAGAACUCUGAUGUCUUCGUAAAAGUUGCUGCCUCUUGGGAGCUGUGAGUAUUGGGAGCAGCCGGCAUGGCACAUUUGCUGCUACCUCAGGUCAUGAGAGCAUGCUAAGCUCCACGUGAAGGCCUCACCUUCCCACACUAUCUCCACUGAGCACUGAAGUGAUGAUGUUGUGUCCCUGUGUCUCAGGGGUAAAUGGAGGCAGCCUUUUUCUUUUCAGGACUGACACAAAAAGUCAAUGGGGCUUGGGGAUGAAUAACAACAAAGGACAGGCCCUCUUGCAGGAGGUCAGUCCCUCCUGCCCCUGCCCUCAAAUGCAUAUGCAAAAUUAUUUUCCUUGUUCUGUGCAUGAGGUCACUCACUGUCUAUGGUCCCAUUGAUAUGGUUUGUCUAGGGACUGACCCAAAUCUCAUCUUGAAUUGUAAUAAUCCCCAUAUGUCAAGGGUGGGGCCAGGUGGAGAUAAUGGAAUCAUAGGAGGUGGCUUCCCCCAUGCUGUUCUCAUGAUAGUGAAAAAGUCUCAGACUAAUACACUCAACCACCUGCUCAAACAUAUCUGACCCAGUCUGAACUCAAGGUAGGACCCCCCAAUACACAUGAAAAGCUUUGUAGGCCUUGUCACCUUCACAUUACCUUACCUUGACUCUGAACCAGGAAUUAAUUACCAUGAAAUAAAGGAUGAUGCAAA